UAUUGUUAAGAGGGCCUGCCUCAAAUAGCUCGAGCACAGAAACCUCUCAAAACCAAGCGGGGCGCGGGGUUAAAAGCCCAAGGCUUUUAACUCUGUCUGGGGCUGCUUGUCAUCUGUAUGAAGUUCUCCAGAGGCAUCUUAGCCCAUCCUACAAUUCAGGAUAACCCGAAAUGGGGAAAAAAAAAGAAGAAGAAUCCUGAAACCAUCAUUUGAGACCCUGGAUCCAGGUAUGCCCAAAGUCAGAUGUUCUUCA